rnacentral:lncRNA from 1 species
AAAUAGUUGAGCAAAACAAUCCUGCCAAUGAGAUGCUGCACCUCUCCCACUAUUUUUGAUGGAGUCAUCUUAAUAAUUACCUUGAUCUUCUUGCGAUUCACCUCGAUGCCUCUUUGUGAGAUCAUGAAUCUCAAAAAUUUUUUGAUGGUAACUUCGAAGGCACACUUCACUGGAUUCAGCCUCAUCUGAAAUCGACUGAG